rnacentral:rRNA from 1 species
AUUGAACGCUGGCGGCAGGCCUAACACAUGAAAGUCGAGCGGAGCGGCGGAAGGGUGAGUAAGGCCUAGUAAUCUGCCUGGUAGUGGGGGAUAACGUCCAGAAACGGGCGCUAAUACCAACAACUAACAGAUGAGCCUAGGUCUGAUUAGCUAAUUUGUGGGGUAAAGGCCUACCAAGGCGACGAUCCGAAACUGUUCUGAGAGGAUGAUCAGCCACACUGGAACUGAGACACGGUCCAGAUUCCUACGGGAGGCAGCAUUGGGGAAUCUUGGACAAUGUGCGAAAGCCUGAUCCAGCCAUGCCGCUUGUGUUAAGAAGGUCUUCGGAUUGUAAAGCACUUUAAGUUGGGAGGCGUUACCAACAGAAUAAGCACCGGCUAACUUCGUGCCAGCAGCCGCGGUAAUAC